CUUCAUGUUCAAUUCACACUUUAGGAACAGUGAGUCCCGUCCUCGGAGUCACUGAGCUUCAUGUGUUGUUUCAUUUCAUGAGAGGAAACGGAUCAGAUGAUGAAGUUUAUCUGCUUUGUUUCUUUGUGCACAUAACUGUACUGCUCAGAGUUUGUAGGAGAGCUACGUGAGCGCCGAUACUCCAAAAACUGAAGAUUCACAGACUGACAGCUAACAGCCAUGACAGCUUCUUGACGGUAAAACCACGCAGCACUAAAUGAUACAAUAGUCCUGAGGGUAAACCGCCAAUAACUGCACAAUAUCUGCACAAUAACUGUCAUCUGUAGAAAAGGCUGUAAAUCACUAGAUUAUGUAAAAACAUAUGCAAAGUCCCAAAUGAAUAUGGUGACGGACCAGAAACUGUAGGCGAAGAACAAAUACAGCCAGAGCAGCAGAUGCAAAAAUGAAAUGAAGUCAGAAACACACAAAAACACAUGCAGAAGAAAGCAGUGAAUAAUUCAUGACAACAGAGGUGCUCCAGACUCAUACAAGGGCUUCAUGAAUUUUUGAGACGUACAUAAGGAGUUUAAUCUGUUGUUUAUCAGAGCACAUAACAACAGAUGUAACUAUUGUCUCUCGAAGGGCUGUGCACCAUUACUGUAGAAUGAAAUGAAUGAACGCUUCGAUCAGCCAUAGAUUUUUGUUAAAGUGCCAUCUGCUGCAGUGGUGUAAGCAGUCCAGGUUGGGCCAAGGAGCAGAUACUUUUUCAGGCUUCAGUUUUGCCCCAAAGAGAAGUGAUAUAACAAAUGAGGACUCAAUCAAACUCUACUCUGACUGAGAUACUGAGGUAACAGGUCCAAGGUAAAUACAAAUGUGUUCAUUUCUGCUCUAAAAACAUCUUUUUAAGCGUACUGUGUACAUGGUUACUGGUGCCUCUGCAGACAGCCUCAAGUGGACACUCAGGGAACUGCAAUCUUUAACAUUUCUGCAUCUGCUGAAUCCCUUUAGACCAGAAUAUGCGCUUUGUUUUACUGAACCUGCUGUGAAGACACUUGUGUUAUUGCAUGUAUCUACGAGGAGGUUUAAUAAUUCUGACAUCCAACUAAGUUUAUACUUUGUGUUUACUGUCAUUGCCAUGGCUUCAUCAUCACUGUAAAUAUUGGAUAUGUUUAUUAUUCACAACUUCCAGUCUUUGGCUUUGAUCAUCUUGGCAGAUUGAAGGGUAGAAAAAUCCCUCCUGACACAUUUCAUACCACAGGAUAAUCUGGGAAGAUAAUCUUUGGAGCCAUCUGAUCAUUGGACCUUUGCUGGCUUUUGUUGGAAGUGGGGAAUUUGGGCCCAAAAUCAGCCGGACUAUCUUUCAGUGGCCCCGUUUACAUGGGUCCAAAAAUCCUAUUUACAAUCAGAUUGAAAGGUCAAACAGAUUCAAAGUCUCAUCUAAACACCUUAGCCAAUCUGAUUCACCCGGAUCUGAUUGUAUUUCGGGUCGGAUUGUAAGAGGUAGUCUACACCGAUUGAUAAUCCGCUCCAUGCUCCAUAUAUACGGCUGAGUGGAGCUGAUUGGGUUUACAGAGAGGCUUGUUCGGUCUGCGCAAGCGCUCGGUAGUACGUAAGAGGCACGUAGUGACGUACGCAGAGCGCGCCAAAACGGAAACAGACAUGGCGAACAAACAGAAAAACUGGACAGUGGAGUGUUAAAGUGUGUUGUUUCGUGCGACUGACGAAGCGUACACUUCUUGCUGUGUAACCCGGCUGGAUUAUACUUUUAUUAAACUUCAACACAUAGGGUUCCUUACUCUGCUCGGUCUGGUAACUCCGGCGGUGUCACACACAAACACGUCCGUGCGCAACUCUAAAACGGAACUUAAACAAUGGUUCCUAUUAACAAUUCCCAUUGAUACAAUACAAUACAACUGGAUUCAGCUGGGGCCAUGAAAACGCAGACUGAACGUGGAUCUCUUUACUUAAAGUUCAUGUAUACAGAUGGAAUCAGAUUCACUUAAUCCGAUUGAUUUCAAUCAGAUUGAGGAAAACUACCCAUGUAAACGGGGCCAGUGUGGACCCUGCUUAAGCAGAUAAGGAAACAAGUGGGAACGGCUAGCCUGUCUCUGCUAAAGGUAACAGAGUGCUAGCACCUCAAACACAAGCUCUCAUCUUUUUGUUGCAGUGAAGUGGUGAGAAACCCUGCAGGGACUACAGAAGGUCACAGCAAUCGGCCGCGGCUCAGUCUGGCACUUUACACCCCCACGUCAAGUCUGAAAUGAUGAUUUAUCCUGCACUUUUAAAAAGAUUAAAAAAAAGAGGUUAUAAAGUAUUAUUAAGUUAGUUUUAGAGGUGCUGAGAGGUGAGCACGGAAUAAGGUGAGCCAGUUCCUCCUGUUUUUGGUCCUGAGACUAAUGAACAGCUGCUAACUAACUUCAUUCAAAUGUCACCAACAUGAGACUAAAUCAGCCUUUUUAUUUAACUCUUCAUACGUCUCGAAUUCUUUCUGUUUUUAGUCGUAAUCAGGAGACUCUGUGAACUAAGCUCCUCAGAGCAGAGUCCUGUGUAACUGGUUCAGUUUGGAGAGAUUAUUUUCUGCCUCAGCACAGACUGACUUUCACAGCCGCUCUCCACCCACAGCUCCAACACUCUGACAGACCGGCAUUGAUGAAGUGGCUCCGGUUAGCAGCUAAAGGUUACAGCUCAUACCACAGUGUGAGACUCCAGUCAGGCCAAAAGACAAUUUGUUCUCUUUGACAACAGAAAAGGUUGAAAUUAAAAUAAAAAGGAGAAAGGAUCUUUUGUUCGGUCAUUAACACUCAGGGCUGUGGUUAAAAUUUCUGAAUAAAUCAGAGUGUUUGACUCUGUAGCACAAGAGAGUGAGUCACGAGACUGUCGCCACAAAAAGGUCAGGCCCGAUUAUUUCAGUCAGAAUUCUCUAAAUGAGACACAAAUGACCCACAAACAGGGGGGCACAAGCUUGAACCACGAAAGGCUAAAACCUGCACCCCCACUAAACAUCUUCAAAACGUUUACAAUGCAACAAAAUCUGAAAGGUGAAGAAAACACUGUUGGUAUUUCAAACAUGUAGAGGCAGAGGAGCACCAUCUGAAAGCUUUGAGCGGGUUAUCUUGACUGUUUCCAGUUUGGUGUUAUAUACUGAAGCAAAAAGUGACCAAUUACAUAAAGAAGGGUGCAAAUGGUGUGCUGACCUGAUCCAGAGAAUAAAAAAAUGGAAAGGAAGACAGCUUUUUAACAAGUAGUCACUUACAAAAGGAAAGCUUGCUUCUUCUUUCAAAAAUUGUUGUUUAUCCGAAGUGCCACUGCAAAAUAAAAGUGGCUACCACCCACUCUUAUCCUGUCUUAAUCCACCAUGAGUGAAACCUUUAACAGCAUUUGUCAAGUUACAGUGGAGAGGAAAAACUUCCUUUAACAGACAGAGACUUUGAGCAGAACCAGACUCAUGAUAGACAGUGAUCUGCUGAGACUGAGCUGGGUUUAGAGAGGGCAGAGAGGGAGAUGAAGAAAGAGAGAUGCUGUAAAAGUAAAGGUCCUUACCGGGAACGACGCAAAUAUACAACGCAAAAUUACAAAAUAUUCUGAGGCGAAUUUUGACGCGCCUGGUUAUACACAUCAAGCCAGAUGCGAUUUUGCGACUUUCUGGGGGGAAAAAGACGCGUCCCGGGUGGAAGCGUGAAGACUGACACAACAGCAGACUGAGUGUUUUUCAGUUCUGAUUAGACACUAGUGUUGAGAUGGCUGUCAGUCAUGAUAGCAUGUACUGAGUCGGGGCCAGUACCAGAUAAGCACAUUAAACUAUAAUCCAUAAACGUAAGGUAACAACUCAGACCUAAUGGUGCUGUGACAGCAACACGAUUGAGUUUGAGACAGUGAAAAUACAUAUGGUAUGUUGUAUCUGAACAGGUUAGCUUACGAGCUAAAGUUACUUAGCACAGAUGAAAGUUAAAACAAAGACGUUUAGCAAACAGUUAAAGCACACAAACCAUCGUCAUAUGAGAAAUCCGACACUAUGACUCUCCACAAGUUGCCCUUCAGGUCGUUAAUCAGCCGGUUGGCCAUGUUGGAUAUUCCGGUGAAUCUGACGUCGCAACAACACGAAAUCUGAUUGGUCAGAAGUGGACACACAGUAUGCAAAACUUUUGAAAAUUUGACCAUGAUAUGAAAAAAUAAAUGCCGUAAUAUCGCAGGAUGGGAAGACAUUGCUAAUGUGAAUGCUUGUAUUGACAGGAUACGGGUUCGGAAAAAAAAUAUUGACAUCCGAAAUAAUCACACAAAAAAAAUGCUCCCAAUGUGUAAGGACCUUAAGGGUAAAAAGAUGUUCUUUAAGUCAAUUAAAACUCCAACUUCUAGUCUAGUUUAAGUAAAAAGGAAUCAUAUCUUAGUUAUAACACUCAGUCAAAACUUUCUCUUUAAAGUGAAUCAUUUUGCCAAAAAGAAAUUAGUAAUCAAAGUUGUACUAAGCACUGAAAUAUGUGAAGCAACAUUAUAGUCUCCAAACACUCCCACUUUGAAAUUAUCCAAUUUCUUAGUCUUAGGUGAAUAAAAUCCAUUGAAAUAGCCCUCAUCCAAUAACACUCAUCUACAGUUUAUGGAAUUUUAUACAUGAAGAAAAGUGAUAAAAAAGAGGAAUGAUCCUCACUCCAAGUCAAGAGGUUUUACACUCCUUAGUUAUUGUCUUUGACUUUGAACUCAAGUGCAGUGAGCACACACACCUGUGUUCAUAAAGAAAGGGUCGUAUUUCACUCUUAUGCUGGUCCUUAACUGUGGUGACAGGCUUGUUGUUUACUGUGCAGUGAGAGUCUUGAGAAGUCUUUGAAUAAAAAGGGAAAAAGCCCAAACCACAACUGUGCAGCCAUAAUCUUUGAGCCCUCAGGUGGCAUUGUACGAAAAAAGCCAUGACUCUGUAGUAGAAAUCGCCACAUGGGCUCAAAAUUACUUCUAAAAGGAGAAUUGUCAGAGAAACACAGUUGGCAAUUUGAUUCAUUUAUUCAGGUUCAACUCAUGCUGAACAAAGUGGAAAACAUUUAUGAACAAGAUCCCAGAACUGCCAACUCUCCUAACCCCUGAGGAGCUGGAGCCUUAGAACAGGUGAGCUUUAUGAAGUCCAGAAACUGGUCUUCUGGGCUCUUAGACUUUUACAGUGCAAAGCAAAUAAGAUGAUAUCAGCAUUAUAUAAUGACCUGUUCUGGAAUUAUCAACAUCAGUUUUUAAGGACACAGUGAAUGUCUGCCCUGACCGAUUAACCUAAUUUCAUGACGCUGUAGUUUUAUGGUUUGGAUACAACUGACCAACAUUUUUAUCCUUAAAGUAACAGACAAGCACGGCUGCAGAAAACAAACAUGAACUGUUGGUCUAAGCUUUCGUCUCGAGCAGGACAUUCAGGUCACACACCUGUCCACACCCUGACUUUAUAGAGAGGCACACUUUGUCCUGUUCUGGGCUGAGCAUACAUGGACCCCCAUUACUGUUUUAUAACACCUGAUGUGAGUGUGCAAAAGGUGAGAAAGCAAAUAUAGACAUGCUCAUAAAACAUGGAUAUUAAAAAAAACGGAACGGAAGAUCGACUUAGGGAUAGAGGUGUCUGGACCGAGGCGGAGGUAGAAAUAAUUUCUGAAGUACUUUAAAAUGAAGCAGAGCAGACAGAUGGAGGGAAACUGAGCCAAAGAAUAAACUCUCACUGUAACCGUGGACUGAAUAAGCACAGGGGAAGAAAGCCCCGCAGCAAACCUGAGGAGGCUGAGUGGAAAAUUUCAUGAUGUCCUGGCUGACUGAGUCAUGAGCUGCUUUACGAAACACUGUGCUGAAAAUUGUCCCAGCUGUGUGGACACCAUUAGCAUAUCAAACCAGUUAUUACACCGUGAGCAAACACUGCCAGCCUGACACCUGUCACUUCAAAUAAAACUCCUGCACUACAGCCAUGAUCAUGUGAUGUUAUAGUCUCACUCAGCAGGGGGGGUUAGUGCAGCUAACUUUAACCUCAGCUCCAUUCAAGUGUCAGAGUUAAAGUAGUACCUGACUUAUUUAUAUUUAUAUUUUCUUUUUGAUAUCUUCUCUUUUGUAUCAGUCACAUCAGUCAGCAGAGAUUUCACGGAUAAGGAGGCGUCAUCAGUUUUUCCCAUACAUCGACGAUACCUAGGCAACCCGACAAAUAUUUACAUACCUUUUUUUAAUCAUGUAUGAUUGACAUCCAUCUUCUACCGAUAAAUUGCUUUAGGGUUCCUCUUUAUCUCUACCUAUUGUGAUUUAUGUCUCCAAACCUGCUCUACAGGUAACAGGGAGAGACUUCAGCAGACAUGAGGAUAACGUAAGAGCUUAUUAUCCCUUCAGGGGCAUUAAAACAAAACCCAAUUAUUCACUCAUUUUGAAUUUGAUGUUGUAACACGUUCCUACAAGGUUGGGACAGGGUCAUGUCUACCUCUGUGUUACAUCACCUUUCCUUUAACAACACUCAGUAAGUCUUUGUGAACUGAGGAUACUUCAACUGUUGAAGCCUUGGAGGUAAAUUCUUUUACAUUCUUGCUUGAUAAAACCACUUCAGUUAAUCAACAGUCCAGGGUCUCUAUUGUGGUAUUUUGUAUUUUAUUAUGCUACACAAAUUCUAGUGGGAGACAACUGUGGACUGCAGGCAGGCCAGUUUAGUACCUGAACUCUUUGACCCUGAAGCCUCGCUGUUGUAACUCGUGCAGACUGUGUCUCUGUGUUGUCUUGCUAAAAUAAUCAGGGUAUCCCUGAAAAAAACGGGGCUCUGACGACAGCAGAUGUUGCUCCCAAAGCUGUAUGUACUGCACCUCUCAGCACUAAUGAGGCCUUCACAGAUGUGACAGUUAGCCAUGGGCACCAACACACCCACAGACCAUCACAGACACUGGCUUUGACCUUUGAUCUGGGAACAGUCUGGAUGGUCCUUUUCCUCUUUAGUCCGGAGGAAACCACCGCCAUGAUUUCCUAAAAAGAUCUAAAGUGGAGACUCCUCAGACCACAGCAGACUUUCCCACACAUUUGUGUGAAUCUGGACUGCAGUUGUCUCCUCAGUUGUUUCUGCAGUUGUAUGCUGAGAAAUGUUGUUCUUAAACCGUUGGAUUAUUUGCUCACACAGUUUUAAACAAACGUGGCCCCGUCCUUGUGAAGGACUGAGCCUUUAGGGGAUGCUCCUUUUAUACUCAACCAUGACCCUCACCUGUUUCUGAUGAACCUGCUCACACGUGGAAUGAUCCAAAGUUCAACAAUAUUGUUUUUCAUCUGUUAGCAUUAUUUUUUUACACUAUAUCAUAUGUUGUCAAAUGCAUAGAAAGAGAGAGAAAAGAAAAAAUUGGACAACAAUGUGAUAUCAACAUAUUGGUCCUCGGCAGAUUGUCUCGCUCAUUUUUUGUUUCAGCAGCGGCUGUUAGACAACUUGACUAUAAGACAUUCAGGGGCAAGAUUGAGGAGUUUUAUAUUAUGAUUUGUGAGGUCUGAAAUAGGUGCAAAAGGUUAAGUGACAGCCAAGCAGCUGGAGAAAAAAAUUCCUUUUUGCACAAUUCCCACCAAAAAUAACCUGAUAAAUGACACAUGACACAUGUGACUGUCAAAAGUCAGCAGGAUGAGGUUUUUGUCAGGUGACCAUACUUGAAAUUCCAGAUUUAAAGUCGUUUUAGCAGGUUUGACCCUCUUUGCCCGAGACCUCCUCCUCAGAGCUGACAGAUAUAAAAACUGACUGUUAAGAUAUUAUCAAUUUUCUAUGUGAUUGCUUUGCUUGCUUUUAUCGGUCUAGUGAAGGCACCAGAGGUAGUUCCAGUCUUUUCUGAGAAAAUAUGAGGGGAAACAUGUAUGACAUAGAAAUGAAAAAAGGUUUUGAGCACACAGACGCAUGUUAUGUCAUCUGCAGGAUUCAUGUUCAUGCAGGUUCACUAAGAGUGAAAGUAUUUUCACAUGAUCAAAACGGCUUUUCAUUUUCCCAGAGAGAUCCCUUCAUGCAGUCUCUGUGUGUGUUAUAGGUGUGGAUACUUGACGUGCAGCUGGAGCAGUAAAUUUCAGAUUGAUGAAUUUACUGAGCGUGUGUGAGUGUGUGUUAAUCCAGGCUGUUCUGACAUGUUCUUGCAACACAAAUGUGAGUGUGUGUUAAUCCAGGCUGUUCUGACAUGUUCUUGCAGAACAAAUUAGACCAACAUGUUCCUAAAUACUGUAGUACAUCCAGUCCUGCUACAGAAGUUGUUGAGUAACUUCGAUUAUUAAUUCACAUUUUAAUUCUGCAGCUAGACCUAAAAAUACAAUUACAGGAAAUGACAGAAUUUCAUCAAAAUUCCUAAAAACUUUUCACAAGGUAGCAAAAUAAAUCAGGCGAGGAAAAGUGGAAAGAAAAACAUGAAGUCAGGCGUCUUAAAUGAAAAUAGAGACUGGUUUAAUGUUAAGCACAUAGAGAUAAAAAUUCCACCGUAACAUUAGAAACUAAGUUUAAUCUGCGAUCUGAAGAUCCUGCCAUCUGACCUGCAGUCAAUCAGGAGGAUAUAUCUUCUCUGUGACCCAGAUGUCAGUAACUGACUCUGUCACCCUGGGAUCCUCCAUAAUGAAUCCUUGUUAGUGAACCAGUUUAUCUCCUGUCUGGGGAAUGAAACGAACACCUGUCCCUCCUGCCACACGCUGCCUAAACACUGGCUGCUGCUGCUGCUGUGUUUUUUUUAACACCUCGGUUACCUGCUAACAUGGCAGAAAAGUUUUGCUUGAAACAUUGAAAUAUUUUUCUUCUGAAACUUUUUAAAGUAACGACGAGGAAAAAGUGAAAUAAAAAACUUAAAUAAACAAUAUCCAUAACAGUUUCUGACUUCUAGGUAACACCGACAGUUCACGUCCACUUUACACGCAUCUCUCUGGAAGGGGCUGUGGCUGUGCUCCGAUAGCCAUGUACUAAUGUUUACACUGGCUCGGUCAUGGCUGCAAGAAGAUCGCUCGUACAACCCUACCAGUUUGAGCCAGAGUCUGACCCAGAGGGAGAGGCUCCGGAAGAAACUCUUAGCCGCGUUCAGACCAAACGCGGCGUGAAGCGACCUAGUCGACACAUCCGAUGUAUUAUUCAAAGCCGCCAGGAGGGUCACGCUUAGCCGGGACGUCCCAUAUUUGAGCCAAAAGAGGCGCGUCGCCGCACGGGUAAAUGCUAAAGCUACAUGCUGCUCCGGAGGGGGAUUUUGUCCCCCGCCGCCGGAGUUGUCGGGGAAGAAGCGAGCGGCUAAAAUACGGGAGGAUCCGGUAAACCGGCGCGGAUCCGGUGUGUUUAUCAAAGCGUGGUGGCCGUGCUGAGGCACCGGGGGGAAUUCAGGCUAAACAGUAAGUCAAAAUAAAACGUUCAUACUUACAGAUGCCACGUUUGUAGUAGGAUCACGGAUAGUUGGUACGGAUUCAUUCUUUAUCUUCAGACAUCUAGCAAAUCCAGCGUUGAACUGUCCCUCAUUGAUAAAAUAGUCCGAAGUGAAAUGGUGCGCACAUACGUACAGAUAUGUUGGAAGUGCCGCGGGUACAUUCCCAUUAUAAAUAAAAUCCACCCAUUGAGUCCUCAAAUCCUCCGACGAGGGAGUUUUCAAAAGAGUUUUGUGCUCGUUUGUGCAGCCAACAACAGAGCAAACGCUGCCUCUUUUUCAGAUCGUACUUUCGCCAUGGUUCUAACCAGAGCUACGUGAGCGGGCGGCCGGGAAUAAUGGCGCUGUUUAGAUAAUUUUUUGGGCAGGUCAGUGGGCGGCUCCAUGGGCAGUACCAUCAACCCGCCAGCACUGACAUGACGUCAUGUCCGUGGAGUUUUCAGAACGGCUCUGAGCACACAGUUCCUAAAUACGGAGAUAACUACAAAACGACUGGAUGGAUUUUUUUUCAAACUUGGGGGGACUGUAGCGGUUUUCUAUCCCUGAUAUGCACCCCCCUCCCGUGAACAAAGUUAGCUCCUACUCGCAACAAAUGAGGAGGCUAGCACAUGUAAAUCUGUAUCAGGUGGUUCAUGGGUGUGUGGGUGAGCUGAUUGUGUAUUGAGUGUAAAAACAGAUUCAAAAAGUCCCACAGGAAAACUGGUGGCUGUUGAGGACUAAAUCAAUCUUGACUACUCUGACUGCACCAAACCUACAGACCACAGAGACACAUGAUUAAGAAACACUCACAACAACCCGCAACAGUCAUCACACUGGAGACGAAAAAAGUGCUCACUGUGCUUCAAUCAACAAUACUGCUAGUCACAUCAUAUUUCACCAAAUGUUUGAAAGACUUUGUUUCAAUGUCCCACGUGAGCUUUGCGUUGGUGUAUCACACUGGGGUGGAUGUUUCAGUCUAGUGCUGCAUCACUGCCUUGAAUGUAUUCAGAGUGUGUCUGCACGGCACAUGUCUGCUGUGUUGUUCAUUUCAUUCAUAGUGAUGCAGGGCGUGUAUCUCUGGAGCGUUUAAGCUGAAACACCUGCGGUCAGUGCGAUGGCUGUGAUUGUAUCAACACAAUGAGUGACUGUGAGGUGGGUUUUACUGGACUUCAAUAAGGGGAUUUACCUUUUUUAGCACUUUUGUUUUUUUGUCGAUUAUCAUAUUGUUUAAUAUUGUUAUUUAUGCACCUCAAGGUGACUGUCCUAAACCAAAAACUAACAAGAUUAAAAAAGUUGAAAUUUUAGCUUUAAAAGUAGAAAUACUGUUCUCACAUUUCAAGUACAACCAACACAGUCGAUAAUCCUUUUCUGCUUGACUGCCUGUCAAACUGGGUCGACAUUCCCAGAACUGCUCUUCUCUGGUUUUGUUCCUUUGUCCCACACAGACUUUUCACUGUUUCCAUCGGUAACUCAUCCUUCACUCCAGCAAACAUCACAUGAGGAGUUCCUCAGGGUUCAGUCUUAAGUCCACCCCUCUUCAGUCUCUAAAUACUCCUAUUAGAAAGAAUCACACUGACUCAAAAGAUCUCCUUCUAAUUCUACACAGAUGAUACUCGGAUCUACUUCCUCCUCAGUUCUCAAAACCUGAUCAGCAAAACCUGAUUGCAAAACUGGUUUCAAGAAAUAUAGGACUUGCUAGCGCCACGCUUCCUCUUGUUUAACCCUAACCC